rnacentral:rRNA from 1 species
AAUUUUGAAGGGCCGCAGUAUUUUGACUGUGCAAAGGUAGCAUAAUCAUUUGCCUUUUAAUUAGAGGCUAGUAUGAAUGGUUGAACGAAAUACAAACUGUCUCAUUUUUAGAAUUUUAAUAACUUAGCUUUCUAGUUAAAAGGCUUGAAUAUUGUUAGAGGACGAGAAGACCCUAUAGAACUUUAUAUAUUUUUAUUUAGAUUUAUAUAGUAAAAUAUUUUUAUUUAUUUAAGUGUAUAUUUUGUUGGGGUGACAGGGAAAUAAAUAUAACUUUCUUAAAUAUUUAAACAUUGAUUAUUGAAUUUUUGAUCCAUUAAUAUUGAUUAUUAGAAUAAGUUACCUUAGGGAUAACAGCGUAAUUUUGUUGGAGAGUUCAUAUCUAUAAUAAAGUUUGCGACCUCGAUGUUGAAUUAAAGAAAUUUUAGAGUGCAGAAGCUUUAAGU